AAGUCGUAACAAGGUUUCCGUAGGUGAACCUGCGGAAGGAUCAUUCAAAAUAAAAGUGAAUUUUAUGGCACUUUUAAAAAAAUCCAUAUCCACCUUGUGUGCAAUGUAAUUUUUUGAAAGAGGGAUUUAUUUUCCUCUUUCUAAAAUCAUAUCAACUCUUUGCUUUGAACCUGUUUGUCUCUGAUAUAAAUAUAUUCUUGAAUAACUUAAUUCAAAAAUACAACUUUCAACAACGGAUCUCUUGGCUCUC
rnacentral:misc_RNA from 1 species